rnacentral:lncRNA from 1 species
CCUAAUGGCAUCGUAAGUGGGAGAAUCACAGACUGAGUUUACUGGAAACCUUAGACUUGUUCUGAUUGUAGCUCGCAGCUUGAGCUCCAGGGAUGCGAGGGGAAUGAAGAUCACAAAUGUCAGCCAAAGAGGAGGCACUCUGGGUGAAACAAGAUGCAGUCUGAACCUUGGUCACAUCACAUCCAAGUCACCUCUGCUUGUUUGGCUUCAAACAGUAUCAGCAGAUAUUUCACUUGUAAUCAGAAAGAGAUCAAGCUAUUUCUCCAAAAGAAGUACCUGCGGUGAGGAUUCAGAUCUAAGAAGAGUGAGCCCCCAGGAGGGUGGACAGGCUGCAUGAGGAGCCCCGGAAACCCUGGACGUGACAGCAGGAGCUUACACUUGACCACGCUCAGAGGAGGAAUUGUCUCAUAGAGAUUUCAGUCUGGAGCUAGAGGCAAGGACUUGGGACCCAUCCUGACAAUGAAAGCAACCCCACAGAUGCACUGGGAUUUUCACUGGAGCGUCUAUAGGGGCUUUAUAAACAGCAGUGAAUCUUCACAGACCCCUUCACAGGGAGCCAGGUAGGAAGGAGGCUUCUCUCUUUGGAGAUGGAGGUACCAAGCUGGGAGGUGAUUUAUCUGAGAGCGUGAAAUGCCAGUGACCAACAAGGAAAUGCGUUUUCAAGCAUCCAGUUGAACCCACAGUUCUUUGAUGCUGACAGACUACUUAUUUGUUUUUUUUUUUUUUUAACAGACUACUUAUUUGAAACAAUUGUGACUAACAGCAUUUAUCAAGCACCUUUUAUAGGCUGGACUCUGGUGAAGAUGUUUUUUGUAAUUCAUCCUCACAGUAUUCUUAAAUGCCAGUACCAUGAUCAUGCCCAUUUUACAGAUGAGGAAACUGAGGUUCAGAGAAGUUCCAUGUCUCACUCAGGUUACAUAUCUGGCAAGUGAAAGAACUGUGAUUGUAACCUAGCUCUCUCUCUGCUAAAGGUGGUGCCUUUCUCUCUGUUUUACUUCUCAGUCUAGCAAGCAGUUUUAACUACAUAUCAACAACCUCAAAAAAUGUUCCUACUCUUUGAUCCAGCUAACCCACUUCUGACAACCAUUCUCAUGAAAUAAUUCUGAGUGCAAAAUAAGUGUCUUAAGAUUCAAUGUGGCUAAGCACACACUGGUGUGUACCCCACUUCUUCCCUAAAUCCCACUGAAAUGGUGGAAGAGAUUCAGAAAUAAAAAUUGCUUGAGGUUGUGGGCA